rnacentral:lncRNA from 1 species
CGAAAAUUGAAUUUUCUAUUCCCAAUAACAAAAAUUGAAUUUUCCAUUCCAAUAACAAAAAUUGAAUUUUCCAUUCCCAAUAAAAAAAUUUGAAUUUUCCAUUCCCAAUAAUGAAUUCCCGGUAAUAAAAACUGAAUUUUCUAUUCCCAAUAACAAAAAUUGAAUUUUCCAUUCCCAACAACAAAAAUUGAAUUUUCUAUUCCCAAAACUGGAAUUUUCCAUCCCCGAUAACAAAAUCGGAAUUUUCGGGUUUCUGGGCCCGAUUUUCCCUUUCCCUUGCAGAGAAGCAGAAGGUGAAGGCGCUGCUGGGUGAGUCCCGCCCAUUUUUGCCUUUUUUCUCCUUUUUUUUCCUCAUUUUUUUCUUUUUCCCCUCUUUUCCCUUUUUCCCCCUUUUUCCUCUUUCUUCUGUUUCCCCUUUUUUCUCCUUUUUUGCCCUUUCUCGCCCUUUUUUCCCUUUUUUCUCCUUUUUCACAUUUUCCUUUUUUCCUGUUUUCCCCACACUUCCCCUUUUUUUUCCCCUUUUUUUCCCUUUUUCCCCCUUUUUUCCUCAUUUUCACCUUUUUCCCCUUUCUUGCCCUUUUCCCUCUUUUUUCUCCUUUUCCCCUUUUCCCUUUUUCCCUUUUCCCAAUUUUUCCCCUUUUCCCACGUCUUUCCUUUCUCCCGUUUUUUCCACUUUUCUCCCUUUCUUCCCUUUUUGCCCUUUUUCAUCUUUCCUCUUUUUGUCCCCUUUUCCCCCAUUUUCCUUUUUCCCCUUUUUCCCCUUUUUUCCCCUUUUUUCCCCUUUUUUCCCAUUUUUCCCCUUUUUUCCCUUUUUUCCCCUUUUUUCCCAUUUUUUCCCAUUUUCCCCUUUUUUUCCCAUUUUUCCCCAUUUUUUCCCAUUUUUUUCCCCUUUUUUCCCAUUUUUUCCCAUUUUUUCCCAUUUUUUCCCAUUUUUUCCCUUUUUUCCCCUUUUUCCCCUUUUUUCCCCUUUUUUCCCCUUUUCCCCCAUUUUCCUUUUUCCCAUUUUCUCCCAUUUUUUCCCAUUUUUUCCCAUUUUUUCCCCUUUUUCCCCUUUUUCCCCCUUUUUUCCCCCAUUUUCCUUUUUCCCCUUUUUUCCCCUUUUUUCCCAUUUUUUCCCAUUUUUCCCAUUUUUUCCCAUUUUUUCCCAUUUUUUCCCCUUUUUUCCCCUUUUUUCCCCUUUUUUCCCAUUUUUUCCCCUUUUUUCCCAUUUUUUCCCUUUUUUCCCUUUUUUCCCUUUUUUCCCUUUUUUCUCUUUUUUCCCCUUUUUUCCCCUUUUUUCCUCUUUUUUCCCCUUUUUUUCCCUUUUUUUCCCCUUUUUUCCCUUUUUUUCCCCUUUUUUCCCAUUUUUUUCCCAUUUUUUCCCUUUCCCCUUCUCUCCUUCCCCCUUUCUUCCUUUCCCCCAAUUUUUCUCUUUUCCCCCUUUUUUGCCCUUUUUU